CUGUCGACCCAAGGGCCCUCCAUAAUAAAUACUUAUCCUGCCUACUAUCCACCUCACUGUCUGCUUACUGGAGAACCCAAUCUGCAAUGGUUGGUGCUGGAAGUGAUUUGAGAAAGAGAAGAUGACUCGGUAUGGUGGCUCACACCUGUAAUCACAGCACUUUGGGAGGCGAAGUUGGGAAGAUCACUUGAAGCCAGGAGUUUAAGAACAGCCUGGCCAACACAGAGGAGGACAGAGAAAGCUCAGGACAAGGCACAGGACUUAAUCAUCAGCAUGGCUGGGACUCUAUUCCCCGGGGUGAUGGAAGACUGGCUCUUGAGCUGCAUCCUUGGUAGCUUUUCCUUCUUCAUCUCAUUGCCAGUGAGGACACUGAGGAGGAGAAGGAGGUGAGGAGGAGGAAAAGGAGGAGGAAAAGGAGAAAACCAACCACGAUCCACUGUCACCAAAUGAGCAUGCCAGGUUGCCAUGCUGCACAGCUCCAAGAAGCACCACUGUCCAUGUGGUCAACAUGGAUGGAUCCCUGAGGAGGUGUCCAGCAGCAGCCUGCAUGCCAUGCGCAGCUCUGAAGUCAAUAAUCCUGGAAAAAGGGUCAUUCCUUCCCAAUAAACUAUAGUGGGCUAUCUCCCGCAGACACCCACGAAAUUUCCCUCCUUUUCCUUCCAUGGAGGACUGGUGAAAACGUCAUCGUGGACCUGACCUGCAUCUGGAGACCAUCCCUCAGAGGCGCUGCAGAGCUCCUUUCUGCCCAGGCAUUUACGGCGGGUGAGAACUUGGAGAGGCGAGCUCACGAGGGAGUUGGGGUUUUGACUUGGCCAUGACUACUCAGCCCAGGAUGAAAGCUGAUACUUUCUGAGUGCAUUCUUUGAUUAACCCUUCAAUCCUCACAAUCACCCCAUGUCACCAGGAGGAAACUGAGGCAAAGUCCACACAACUGGCAAAUCUGGUAUGACUCUCUUUCUGUCACAGCGGGUUUGCUGGGCACAGACCUGCAGCCAGAUGCUCAG